rnacentral:tRNA from 1 species
GGUGGCAUGGCCAAGUGGUAAGGCAAUGGUCUGCAAAACCAUGUAUCCCCAGUUCAAAUCUGGGUGUCACCU